rnacentral:rRNA from 1 species
CAGCAGCCGCGGUAAUACGUAGGGGGCAAGCGUUGUCCGGAAUUAUUGGGCGUAAAGCGCGCGCAGGCGGUCAUGUAAGUCUGGUGUUUAAUCCCGGGGCUCAACCCCGGAUCGCACUGGAAACUGGGUGACUUGAGUGCAGAAGAGGAGAGUGGAAUUCCACGUGUAGCGGUGAAAUGCGUAGAGAUGUGGAGGAACACCAGUGGCGAAGGCGACUCUCUGGGCUGUAACUGACGCUGAGGCGCGAAAGCGUGGGGAGCAAACAGGAUUAGAUACCCGCGUAGUCCCUGUCUCUUAUACC